CAGCCAUGCCGCGUGUGUGAAGAAGGCCUUUUGGUUGUAAAGCACUUUAAGCAGUGAAGAAGACUCUUCGGUUAAUACCCAUAUGACGAUGACAUUAGCUGCAGAAUAAGCACCGGCUAACUCUGUGCCAGCAGCCGCGGUAAUACAGAGGGUGCAAGCGUUAAUCGGAAUUACUGGGCGUAAAGCGAGCGUAGGUGGCUUGAUAAGUCAGAUGUGAAAUCCCCGGGCUUAACCUGGGAACUGCAUCUGAAACUGUUAGGCUAGAGUAGGUGAGAGGGAAGUAGAAUUUCAGGUGUAGCGGUGAAAUGCGUAGAGAUCUGAAGGAAUACCGAUGGCGAAGGCAGCUUCCUGGCAUCAUACUGACACUGAGGCUCGAAAGCGUGGGUAGCAAACAGGAUUAGAUACCCUGGUAGUCCACGCCGUAAACGAUGUCUACUAGUCGUUGGGUCCCUUGAGGACUUAGUGACGCAGCUAACGCAAUAAGUAGACCGCCUGGG
rnacentral:rRNA from 1 species